CCCAUACCGCGUGGGUGAAGAAGGCCUUCGGGUUGUAAAGCCCUUUUGUUGGGAAAGAAAAGCAGCCGGUUAAUACCCGGUUGUUCUGACGGUACCCAAAGAAUAAGCACCGGCUAACUUCGUGCCAGCAGCCGCGGUAAUACGAAGGGUGCAAGCGUUACUCGGAAUUACUGGGCGUAAAGCGUGCGUAGGUGGUUGUUUAAGUCUGUCGUGAAAGCCCUGGGCUCAACCUGGGAAUGGCGAUGGAAACUGGGCGACUAGAGUGUGGCAGAGGGUAGUGGAAUUCCUGGUGUAGCAGUGAAAUGCGUAGAGAUCAGGAGGAACAUCCGUGGCGAAGGCGACUGCCUGGGCCAACACUGACACUGAGGCACGAAAGCGUGGGGAGCAAACAGGAUUAGAUACCCUGGNUAGUC
rnacentral:rRNA from 1 species